GAUAUGGCUCAGGAUGAACGCUAGCUACAGGCUUAACACAUGCAAGUCGAGGGGCAGCGGGAAGUUAGCUGCUAACUUGCCGGCGACCGGCGCACGGGUGAGUAACGCGUAUCCAACCUUCCCCUUAGUAGGGCAUAGCCCGGACGAAAGUCGGAUUAAUACCCUAUGUUUUCCAAUGAGGACAUCUGAGCUGGAAUAAAGAUUCAUCGCUAAGGGAUGGGGAUGCGUCCGAUUAGCUUGCCGGCGGGGUAACGGCCCACCGGGGCGACGAUCGGUAGGGGUUCUGAGAGGAAGGUCCCCCCACACUGGUACUGAGACACGGACCAGACUCCUACGGGAGGCAGCAGUGAGGAAUAUUGGUCAAUGGGCGCGAGCCUGAACCAGCCAAGUAGCGUGCAGGAUGACGGCCCUAUGGGUUGUAAACUGCUUUUAUAGGGGAAUAAAGUUUCCUACGUGUAGGAUUUUGUAUGUACCCUGUGAAUAAGGACCGGCUAAUUCCGUGCCAGCAGCCGC
rnacentral:rRNA from 1 species